UACGGGGGGGGCAAGCGUUGUUCGGAUUUACUGGGCGUAAAGGGCGCGUAGGCGGCCACCGCAAGUCAGUUGUGAAAUCUCUGGGCUUAACCCAGAAAGGUCAACUGAUACUGCGGGGCUAGAGUGCAGAAGGGGCAACUGGAAUUCUCGGUGUAGCGGUGAAAUGCGUAGAUAUCGAGAGGAACACCUGCGGCGAAGGCGGGUUGCUGGGCUGACACUGACGCUGAUGCGCGAAAGCUAGGGGAGCGAACGGG
rnacentral:rRNA from 1 species